rnacentral:rRNA from 1 species
UAAGGAAUAUUGGACAAUGGAGGCAACUCUGAUCCAGCCAUGCCGCGUGAAGGAUGAAGGCCCUAUGGGUCGUAAACUUCUUUUGAACGGGAGAAAACCCUGGGUCGUGUACCCGGGCUGAUAGUACCGUUAGAAUAAGGGUCGGCUAACUUCGUGCCAGCAGCCGCGGUAAUACGAAGGACCCGAGCGUUAUCCGGAUUCAUUGGGUUUAAAGGGUGCGUAGGCGGAUUGAUAAGUCAGUGGUGAAAGCCCAUCGCUCAACGAUGGAACUGCCAUUGAUACUGUCGAUCUUGAGUACAUUUGAAGUGGGCGGAAUGUGUCAUGUAGCGGUGAAAUGCUUAGAUAUGACACAGAACACCGAUUGCGAAGGCAGCUCACUAAACUGUAACUGACGCUGAGGCACGAAAGCGUGGGGAUCAAACAGG